rnacentral:lncRNA from 1 species
UUCUCCUACCUCUUGCUUUGUUAUGGCUCUCUCUGACUCUGCUGACAACGUUUUUUCACAAUAAUCAUCCUAACUCUAAUUCUCUUAUCUAUUUAAAUAAAACCCUAAUAUUAUACUAAUUCACUAACUCCCUUAAUUCUCACUAAUUUCACCUUUUUCCUCAAUUUUAAUGUAAACUCUAAUUUCCGCCCAAAAACUCAAUUUCUCAUUAUUUUCUAUUAUUUAAAUAAUUAAAAAUUAG